UUUUCAUAAACAUUUUUACUUGCUAAGUAAAACGAUUAACGGCACCGCAGAAGUUUCUAAGAGAAUGAGGAAAAGCAUGUUCCUCUUGAUAAGAAAAGAAAGUUUUAUCCUUAUCACUCAUAAUAGUUUUAAAGUAAAGUAUUGUAUUCUCUAACUGUGUAAUAUUUAGGCAAAAAUAGCCAACAUUCAAACGUUUGUUUCAUAAACAUAUACACAGUAGAUUAAAAUUAAAGACUUCGAUUCCUGGGAGCUGGAGUGACACUUGUUGAGAGGAGAGACAGCCACGAACACCGGAAGAGAUAGUUCCUUACACACAAAAAAUGGUUGUAUUACACAGAAGAUAAAAGUACUUUCUGAACAAAAAGUAUAUCAUUUAAAAUCAUUGUAGUAUGUACCUCCUUCCCUUGCACAAAAUAUUACUGCCAACCAAUGUAAAAGCAUGGCAGUGUGGUUCAAUAGUUAACAAUUUAAAGAAAGUCAUAAGAUAUUAAAAUGUAAAUUUUACUCAGAUGGCAGUUGAUUAUGUCUUUAAACCCUUUCUAUUCCAUUAGUCCACAAUUACUGCAAUUCUUUUCAUCUCAUCAUAUUAGUGUAUAUUAGGCCUGAUUACAUUUGCACUAAUAUUAUUAAAGAAAAACUCUUUUUAACCUCAAUCUUAUAGUUUAUCCUUGUUAGUUAGUGCAAUAUAAAGGAAUAAAAGUGUCAUCUACAUCAAUUUCAUUUGAUUGUUAGUAUGUUAUGUAGAUGAACAGCUUUAUAGAGCAGCACACAUAGCCACUAAAUUGCUUGAUUGUUCUACUGUAACGAGUCACGACGCAAGGAUAGAAGACCUUUAUAAGAAGCUGAGUCCAACACCAGUAGAUUAUGCUGCUAAAUUCCUUCCUUGGAUCAUCUAGAAGGACCAUAACUUUGAACCAAGUGACAGGUUUUUUCACAUUUUUAAUGGGUCUUUUUCAUAAAAUUGCUGGAAUUCAAGCAUUUUAGUAGCUGAUAAUACAUAUUCAAGUACACAACUCCUAACUCAUAGCAAAUGGUUUCUUAAGUUGUGAUGAUGCAUGCAACCAUGAACAAAAAUAGUCUGCAAGACCAAAUAACAUUACACAAGUUUUAGGCAAAUUAGUCUUCCAUUUAACCCUUCUCCAACACCUUCUAUUAUUGCUGGUGUUGCUGCCUAUAUCAUAUUCACUACUAACAUCUUAGUAGGAGUAGCCUUUGACGAACAACUCCUUCUUUGCUUCAUCAGAUUCACCCUCACCGGUGUACUUUCCAAGCUGAGCCAGUGAGUUGGACUUGGCACGGAAAAGGAGUGCAUCCUGUGCCGCCUUCACGUUCUCAGGGAGGCCUCCCCAUGUCUUCAAUGUAGUGUUCUGGAGGGCUCUGGCGUAUGAGAAUGACACGUGCCAUGGGUUAGGGGAUUGGUUUAUGGCAUUCAAGUUGAGGGUUGCUUCAACCUCAGAUUGUCCACCAGAUAAGAACUGCACAACAUAACUUCGGUCAGUACAUGAACAUUGUAUUAGUGAGUCAGAGGGAUGCUUUUGGAACAUAAAGAAUAAUGCAUUCGAUUGUGUCACUUACCAUAAUUCCAGGGACAGCAGAGGGAACUCUCCUGUGAAGGAGUUUGAGGGUGUACUCAGCAACCUUCUGAGGAGAUGCCUUCUCCUUGGAUUCAGCUCCCGGAGUAACCAUGCUAGGCUUCAGGAGAAUACCCUCAAACAGGACAUUGUUCUCAGCAAGGUAGAAGAAAACUUCAGCCCAGACCUUUUGGGCGACUUCGAAAGUCCUUUCAAUACUAUGUUCACCAUCAAGCAAGAUCUCUGGCUCCACAAUUGGAACCAACCCGUUGUCCUAGAAAACCAUUAAAUGAAAAAACAAUAAAAAACCGCACAUUCAGAAAACCGUAGAAACAUAUCCUAGCUCAAGUUACUUAUAUAACUGUAACAAAAAAGGUGUUAAUUAUAUGAGUUGAAUGGUUUUCUCACCUGAGAAAUUGCAGCAUAACGAGCCAGACCCCAGGCUGCUUCCUUAACUGCGAGAGCAGAGGGACCGUUGGGGAUGCUCACAACAGUACGCCUAACAUACGUAUUCAGAUAAAUUUAGUACUGUGAUGUAAAUAUGAACAUCAAUAUCAGAUUUUUAUGCAUUACAAGGGGAAUCUAGAUACACACUCACCAUUUGGCGAAGCGGGCACCUUGCUGGUAGUACGCAGCUGUGCGAGAUGCAAGACCGUCCAGACCUUGGCACCAUGACUCAUCAUUGGAACCAACUAGGGGCACCAAACCCUAUUUUUCUCGGCAUAUUAACCACUUGUUAACAUAUAUGAUGCCAUAAAUACUGCUUAACUCCUCUACCAUCAAUCAUCAAGUCUCUCCAAUAAAAUAGUACUAAUCAAGAAAAAUAAUCCACUCUAACAUAAAUCAUUUCAGUGUGUUUGCUUUCACAUACAAAUGUUACGAAGUAGGCGAAAAUUCUAAUCUGCUCCGAGAACUAGAGAUUUUCUUACAUCUGUUUUGAGGGCUAUUAGUAUCCCUACUUCAACUACAUUCUUAAUGUAGUUAAUGUUUUACAAAUCUCUUGCUCAAAGAGCACCUAGGAAUCUCUCACACACAAGGUACCUAUAAUGCUUAGAAUAACAUCAAAAUAUGUUAAAAUUUCCUAUAUGUUACAUAUAACGAUUGUUUAUGUAAGGGCGUGAAACAUCUUCCUAUAUUAUUCAUAUCAGAAUUCUUGCUUAUUCUUUUCAAUAUUCGUUAUUAAGGCGCUGCACGAUCUAAAAUUGUAUACAAGAGAGUUUAAUUCUGGGUGGCCUACCUUGUCAACUUUAAUACCAGGAAUAAUGUUCUGCUCAACAAGUACAUCUACAAUCUUCUUUCCAUCAACUGUGGAUUGGUAGAGAGUUUCCUCAAAGAGAAUGGCACCAGAGAUGUACUG
rnacentral:lncRNA from 1 species